AGUGAACGCUGGCGGUAGGCCUAACACAUGCAAGUCGAACGGCAGCACAGGAGAGCUUGCUCUCUAGGUGGCGAGUGGCGGACGGGUGAGGAAUACAUCGGAAUCUGCCCAGUCGUGGGGGAUAACGUAGGGAAACUUACGCUAAUACCGCAUACGACCUUCGGGUGAAAGAGGGGGAUCGCAAGACCUCUCGCGAUUGGAUGAGCCGAUGUCGGAUUAGCUAGUUAGCGGGGUAAUGGCCCACCAAGGCGACGAUCCGUAGCUGGUCUGAGAGGAUGAUCAGCCACACUGGGACUGAGACACGGUCCAGACUCCUACGGGAGGCAGCAGUGGGGAAUAUUGGACAAUGGGCGCAAGCCUGAUCCAGCCAUACCGCGUGGGUGAAGAAGGCCUUCGGGUUGUAAAGCCCUUUUGUUGGGAAAGAAAUCUUUCAGGCUAAUACCCUGGGAGGAUGACGGUACCCAAAGAAUAAGCACCGGCUAACUUCGUG
rnacentral:rRNA from 1 species